rnacentral:rRNA from 1 species
UGGAAGUAAAAGUCGUAACAAGGUCUCCGUUGGUGAACCAGCGGAGGGAUCAUUACUGAGUUUACGCUCUACAACCCUUUGUGAACAUACCUAUAACUGUUGCUUCGGCGGGUAGGGUCUCCGUGACCCUCCCGGCCUCCCGCCCCCGGGCGGGUCGGCGCCCGCCGGAGGAUAACCAAACUCUGAUUUAACGACGUUUCUUCUGAGUGGUACAAGCAAAUAAUCAAAACUUUUAACAACGGAUCUCUUGGUUCUGGCAUCGAUGAAGAACGCAGCGAAAUGCGAUAAGUAAUGUGAAUUGCAGAAUUCAGUGAAUCAUCGAAUCUUUGAACGCACAUUGCGCCCGCCAGCAUUCUGGCGGGCAUGCCUGUUCGAGCGUCAUUUCAACCCUCAAGCUCUGCUUGGUGUUGGGGCCCUACAGCUGAUGUAGGCCCUCAAAGGUAGUGGCGGACCCUCCCGGAGCCUCCUUUGCGUAGUAACUUUACGUCUCGCACUGGGAUCCGGAGGGACUCUUGCCGUAAAACCCCCAAUUUUCCAAAGGUGACCUCG